AUGCACGAUUAUCUCAACACAAUAUUUAAAAACAUAACUCUGCCUGCACAAAACACAUGCUUCACCAAUCAAACAGAAAAAGUCAAGUUUGUUACUGUGUACAUGAAGCUUUACACGGCCGCCGCCCAAGCCAGGGCCAGAGCCGUAGACAACAACAUUAAGGAACAGCUACUCAACGCCUCCUACUACGUCCGCAACAACCCAGGCCCGCGAUCCCUUCUGAUGGCCCACAGAGAUCUGAUACGCUCCCUCCUCACGUUCCGGGAUGAGAUUGUCAACAAGGCCAUAGAAAACAUCGACCAGGCCCUCAGCUCAUUCAACGCUACCUACCGCCAACGAAACUUCCCGGUCGUCACUGUUCACGUUCGCCGGACAGACUACACAGGAUACAUCGACAGAAAAUUUAACCUGACGCAACUUGACGAGCAGUACUUCGAAAGAGCAUUCGAAUUUUACAAAGAAAGGUGAGACUUCUUUGAAUAAUGAUCAUUUUUCAUAAUUUCACUUUGUCCUUUCAACACCCGACAUAAUUUUGAUAUUCAUAAGUAGAAGCCUUAACACGAGCAUUUCUCAGAAAAUAUAACUUGGUCCGGCGCAGGGUGCGGUUGUUGCCUCACUCACUAUAGUUAAGAACACUCGGAUAAUCAAUUCAAUGGUGGCCCACCAACAGGUUGCCGCGACCCGUGUUCCUGGUGCUGAGUGACGACCGCGAGUGGUGCAGGCGAAAGCUGCAGGCCAAGGACGUGAUAGUCAUUGCCAAAGCAUCCGCGACCGUGGACAUGGCAGUGAUGAGUCUCGGGGACCACCACAUCACCAGCUAUGGCACCUACAGCUUCAGCGGCGCCUUGCUGGGCCACGGACACAUCACGCAUCCUAUCGGACACAACACCAAGUACAAUCUCGCUGACUGUGUAGACUCGCAUUUCUUUCACCACAUUUCCAGAGACAAGACUUAUAAAGCAGACAAUUCAGAGGUGGUGGUUUCAUGGAGGCUUUAGCAGCACGAGUAGAACACAACUGAUGAUGACCAAAGUAUACGCAAGAACGAGUUACUAUUCAAAUUUACGUUAAGAAGUGUUACUAUUGAAAUAAUGAGGACCAUAUUCUGAAACGCUUCUGUGUCGCACCCUGACUACCUUCAUAACACUCUAGUUGAAGUUACA